rnacentral:sRNA from 1 species
AUAAGGUGUAAAAAGGGGCUUAGUAACUGCACGGCUGUAGACUAGUAGGAAUAGGGUAGGUCGGUAUAGUAGUAAGGGCUCAAGAGGUGUAUACUCUGUACGAUGAAGAUGGAAUUCGAAGACUAGACUCUCCAUUGAUAGCAAAAAAAAAAAAAGAUCGCUGGGCCCAGGAAGAAGGGCCUGGAGACCAGCCAUUGUAUAUAGCGAGGAGCCAGCGCUUCGCCGGCUACUUUGCCGGGACCGCGUCAUUCCAAACUGGUUGAGUUCGCGAUGUUGUUGACGUGGAACUUGGAACUUUUGAGGCCUCAUACCCGAUCGGCACGGUGUUACAGUUAGUGGAAUGCGUACUAGUAGUACUUUUCUCCCACUCUGACGAGUGUGGGAAACUGAAG